GCAGCGGUAGCUCAGUGGUAGAGUGUAGGAUUGCAGCGUCUGAGAUACAGCAUCCCAUCCCGAGGUCCCCGGUUCGAUCCCGGGUCGCUGCU